rnacentral:rRNA from 1 species
GCAAAAGAAGUAGGUAGCUUAACCUUCGGGAGGGCGCUUACCACUUUGUGAUUCAUGACUGGGGUGAAGUCGUAACAAGGUAACAGUAGGGGAACCUGCGGUUGGAUCACCUCCUUACCUUAAAGAAGC